AGAUUCUAGGAAAGGGAAUAUAGACACCUCUGCCCUAAUAAGAGGACUCACCCUGUAAGAGGGGCAUGUGGAAUGGGAGGUAUUAUGGCUGCCAUCUUUAGAAAUUACAAUUUGCCACAGGUUGUGUUCCCUAGAAGCAGAGGUUGAAAUAGGGGUUCUUUUGUGAGUUAAGGAAGAGGGAGAAGCUAAGCGAGGAUGUAGCUUCAGGUGAAGUCCAGCUUCAACCUGAUCUUGUAGGCAGCACUGGAUCUCACAUUGUCUGCAGCAUUUGUCCUUCCUUGAGGCAAAAAAGUGGGGCUUUUGUACACACAUAUCAGUCAACCCUUAGCUUAGGGAAGCCCCAGGGGAAGGGUUGUAACUCCUAGGUAUCUCGUAGACAGGCAACUCCUCUUGCUUAAAGGCAUUUCCCAGACAAGGCUUGCUCUGUGAGCCUUUAAUAGCAGUUAAUAAAAAGAUUGCCAGAGAUCUGAUUGGGACUGCAACAGCCUCAGCUACAUUAAGAUAUGGGGGCACAUUCAAGGCCUGUUUUAUAGAGACUAGCAGAGACCAUAUAAGAAUCACUAACAUGAGCUGCAUACGCUGGAGGCCCCUCUGCUGUCAUUAUUUUAUGUGCUGGAAAACGCUGCGAUGGGAAGACAGCCCAGUCAGAUGGGGAUGGCCUGGAAUAGGAGCCAGAGAAUGAAGAUACUGUCAUUACCUCUGCAAAGAAUGCAUCCUAGCACAGAUCAAAGAUCUUCCAAGUCCAGCCACACCAUUUUACAGUUCUGAACCUCGACUUAGGAAAGCAGUGGAUCUUUAUACAUUUGACACAUCCCUUCCCUCUAGGAUCUCUGUGGCUAUUGAAAAUGGACUGGAGAAGAUGAGUGGGAGUGAGAAGAGGAUAACAGAAUCAGAUAAAAACCUGUCAUGUUACUAAGAGCAGGAGAUGAGGCAGCCUGGACCAAGAUGGUGGCAGAGAGAAGAAAAUUGCUUGAGAGAAUUGAUUAAACUACUUGGUUAGCACAGAUAGAGCUGAAUCAAAAAUUAGGAUGGUAAGCUAAGUAAUUUUACACACAAAAAGGCAGAGUUGCAUUCAUAAUUAGUCUCUCCUUCAGACUGAAUAUUACAGACAAAAUAUAGCCAUUGGUGUUGCAAUCACUUCCUUUGGGUUUGUAUCCAAGGUUAAGAAUGUCAGCAUCCAAAGACCCAAAUUCUUAAUGUUUUUAGUUGAUAAAGUUUAUUCAAGGUAGACAGCCUGUGUUGAAUAACUUAGUCUUCCACAAAUUUCAAGAAAAAUCCAUUGUCCCUCUUCUCCGCCACAGACACACUUUAGUUGAACAUUAAGCAUAUUUAUUAAAGAAACAUUCUCCUUGUGCUUUUUCUCCCAA
ensembl:lncRNA LINC00690 long intergenic non-protein coding RNA 690